GUCCCGCCAGUUCGAGUCCCUCCCGGCCACCCACAUCCGGGGCAAGUGCAGCGUGACGCUGCUCAACGAGACCGACAUCCUGGGGCAGUACCUGGAGAAGGAGGACUGCUUCUUCUACUCGCUGGUGUUCGACCCCGUGCAGAAAACCCUCCUGGCCGACCAGGGCGAGAUCCGGGUGGGCUGCAAGUACCAGGCCGAGAUCCCCGAGCGCUUGGCC